GCCAUUUCUAAAAUAAGAAUUCAGCCCUUUGAGAAUGAGCUUGAUUUCAAAGCAAUAUAAAAUGGUGAUGUGGCUGUCCAUGUUACAAUUGAUAAUAUCGCGUCCUUAUGUUUGUAUGAAAUAAAACAAAACAGCUAGGCCUAUAGCUGGCCUGCCUAUAGGGCACAGAGGCUUCAUUUACAAUCUUAAAAAGGAUUGUUAAGAGAUCCCGCCUCGUUCAGUGUGGUGAGUUGGCUUAGAGGCUAUGUGAGUUUAAUACAUGGCAGGAACUGGAUUACAUUAAGAGGUUGGUUCUUAAGAUCACAAAAAAAGGACCUGAGCCCUAGGACCAUGUCCCCAGUCCACCUGGUCUUGCUGCUGCUCCAGUUUCAACUGUUCUGCCUGCGGCUAUGGAACCCUGACUUGUUCACCGGACGUGCUACCUGUCCCAGACCUGUUGUUUUCAACUCUCUAGAGACUGCAGGAGCGGUAGAGAUACUCUGAAUGAUCGACUAUGAAAAGCCAACUGACAUUUAUUCCUGAGGUGCUGACCCGUUGCGCCCUCUACAACCACUGUGAUUCUUAUUAUUUGACCCAGCUGGUCAUCUAUGAACAUUUGAACAUCUUGGCCAUGUUCUGUUAUAAUCUCCACCCGGCACAGCCAGAAGAGGACUGGCUACCCCUCAUAGCCUGGUUCCUCUCUAGGUUUCUUCCUAGGUUCUGGCCUUUCUAGGGAGUUUUUCCUAGCCAUGGUGCUUCUACACCUGCAUUGCAUGCUGUUUGGGGUUUUAGGCUGGUUUUCUGUACAGCACUUUGUGACAUCAGCUGACGUAAGAAAGGCUUUAUAAAUACAUUUGAUUGAUUUGAUGUCUCAAUUGUCUCAAGGCUUAAAAAUCAUUCUUCCCUUCAUCUACACUGAUUCUAGUGGAUUUAACAAGUGACAACAAUAAGGGAUCAUAACUUUCACCUGGAAUCACAUGGUCAGUCUAUGUCAUGGAAAUAGAGGCUAUUCCUAAUAUUUUGUACACUCAGUAUAUGUAGGCCUAUAUCUAACUAUUAUUUCAUCCUGUAUGUAUGAGACUUUUGAAGUAGCCCAUAUGAGGCCACAUGAAAAUAUGGAAAAUGCAAAACGUUUAGGUUAUUUGGAGUGUUGGACAGUGUUAUACACUUAGACCUCAAAGUUCCAAUCUGGUUUUAACAAAAUACAUGUUACACUAUUCAAUUGCUUGAGGACGUCAAAUUGCUGCACUCCAGAUGUCAAAUUGGGGCUGCUUUUCCAUUUCAAUUAGCCUACAGCAAAUUAAUUAUAAUAGUAUGAUCAUUCAUAUAAAGCGUAUCCAAUACAGA